GACGUAGGGCGCGAGCGUUGUCCGGAUUUAUUGGGCGUAAAGAGCUCGUAGGCGGCUUGUUGCGUCAGCUGUGAAAACCCGCAGCUCAACUGUGGGCUUGCAGCUGAUACGGGCAGGCUUGAGUUCGGUAGGAGAGACUGGAAUUCCUGGUGUAGUGGUGAAAUGCGUAGAGAUCAGGCAGAACACCUGGGGCGAAGGCGGCCAGCUGGGCCGUCCCUGACGCUGAGGCGCGAAGGCGUGGGGAGCGAACGGG
rnacentral:rRNA from 1 species